AGAGUUUGAUCCUGGCUCAGAAUCAACGCUGGCGGCGUGCCUAACACAUGCAAGUCGAACGAGAAAGUGGAGCAAUCCAUGAGUAAAGUGGCGCACGGGUGAGUAACACGUGAAUGAUCUACCUCCGAGUGGGGAAUAACUGAGAGAAAUCUUAGCUAAUACCGCAUAACACUUACGAGUCAAAGCAGCAAUGCGCUUGGAGAGGAGUUCGCGGCCGAUUAGUUAGUUGGCGGGGUAAUGGCCCACCAAGACGAUGAUCGGUAUCCGGCCUGAGAGGGCGCACGGACACACUGGAACUGAAACACGGUCCAGACUCCUACGGGAGGCAGCAGUGGGGAAUUUUGCGCAAUGGGGGAAACCCUGACGCAGCAACGCCGCGUGGAGGAUGAAGUAUCUUGGUACGUAAACUCCUUUCGAUAGGGAAGAUAAUGACGGUACCUAUAGAAGAAGCCCCGGCUAACUUCGUGCCAGCAGCCGCGGUAAUACGAGGGGGGCAAGCGUUGUUCGGAUUUAUUGGGCGUAAAGGGUGCGUAGGCGGUUUGGCAAGUCUUGUGUGAAAUCUUUGGGCUCAACCCAAAGCCUGCACGGGAAACUGCCGGGCUUGAGUAAGGGAGAGGUGGGUGGAAUUUCCGGUGUAGCGGUGAAAUGCGUAGAUAUCGGAAGGAACACCUGUGGCGAAAGCGGCUCACUGGACCAUAACUGACGCUGAGGCACGAAAGCUAGGGGAGCAAACAGGAUUAGAUACCCUGGUAGUCCUAGCCCUAAACGAUGAUUGCUUGGUGUGACAGGUACCCAAUCCUGUCGUGCCGAAGCUAACGCGAUAAGCAAUCCGCCUGGGGAG
rnacentral:rRNA from 1 species